rnacentral:rRNA from 1 species
UACGUAGGCAGCGAGCGUUGUUCGGAGUUACUGGGCGUAAAGGGUGUGUAGGCGGUUGUUUAAGUUUGGUGUGAAAUCUCCCGGCUCAACUGGGAGGGUGCGCCGAAUACUGAAUGACUUGGAGUGCGGGAGAGGAGAGUGGAAUUCCUGGUGUAGCGGUGAAAUGCGUAGAUAUCAGGAGGAACACCGGUGGUGUAGACGGCUCUCUGGACCGUAACUGACGCUCAGGCGCGACAGCGUGGGGAUCAAACAGG